rnacentral:rRNA from 1 species
GACGAACGCUGGCGGCGUGCUUAACACAUGCAAGUCGAACGGUAAGGCCCUGCUUUUGUGGGGUGCUCGAGUGGCGAACGGGUGAGUAACACGUGAGUAACCUGCCCUUGACUUUGGGAUAACUUCUGGAAACUGGGGCUAAUACCGGAUAGGAGCUCCUGCUGCAUGGUGGGGGUUGGAAAGUUUCGGCGGUUGGGGAUGGGCUCGCGGCUUAUCAGCUUGUUGGUGGGGUAGUGGCUUACCAAGGCUUUGACGGGUAGCCGGCCUGAGAGGGUGACCGGCCACAUUGGGACUGAGACACGGCCCAGACUCCUACGGGAGGCAGCAGUGGGGAAUAUUGCACAAUGGGCGGAAGCCUGAUGCAGCAACGCCGCGUGCGGGAUGACGGCCUUCGGGUUGUAAACCGCUUUCGCCUGUGACGAAGCGUGAGUGACGGUAAUGGGUAAAGAAGCACCGGCUAACUACGUG